rnacentral:rRNA from 1 species
UACGUAGGGGGCGAGCGUUGUCCGGAUUCAUUGGGCGUAAAGCGCGCGUAGGCGGCCCCGCAAGUCGGCCGUGAAAUCUCCGGGCUUAACUCGGAAAGGUCAGCCGAUACUGCGGGGCUAGAGUGCAGAAGGGGCAGCUGGAAUUCUCGGUGUAGCGGUGAAAUGCGUAGAUAUCGAGAGGAACACCUGCGGCGAAGGCGGGUUGCUGGGCUGACACUGACGCUGAUGCGCGAAAGCUAGGGGAGCGAACGGG